UCCCCCGUGAGGGGGCAGUCUCGCCUGACAUAUAAAACAGGCAACGAGGGUUGCGUUCGUUACCCCACUGAAGGGAACAACUCAAGCCACGAACUGACGACGACCAUGCAUCACCUGCCCAACUGUCUUGCGAGGUCCAAAGUUUCCUAAGGAUUUCAGUUGGGUUUCAAACCCUGGUGAGGUUUUUCGUUUAUCAUCGAAUUAAGCCGCAUGAUCCACCGCUUGUGCAAGUCCCCGUCUAUUCCUUUGAGUUUUAAUCUUGCGAUCGUACUACCCAGGCGCAUCACUUAACGCGUUAGCUACGCCUCACAGAGGGUCGAUACUCCGUAAAGCUAGUGAUGAUCGUUUAGGGCGUGGACUAC
rnacentral:misc_RNA from 1 species